rnacentral:rRNA from 1 species
UACGGAGGGUGCAAGCGUUGUCCGGAAUCACUGGGCGUAAAGGGCGCGUAGGCGGGCUCGCAGGUCAGGGGUGAAAGCCCACGGCUCAACCGUGGAAGUGCCUUUGAUACCGUGAGUCUCGAGGGAGGUAGGGGCGUGCGGAACUUCCGGUGGAGCGGUGAAAUGCGUAGAUAUCGGAAGGAACAUCGGUGGCGAAAGCGGCGCGCUGGACCUCUUCUGACGCUGAGGCGCGAAAGCCAGGGGAGCAAACGGG